rnacentral:lncRNA from 1 species
GCUUGAAAACAUAAUAAAGGAAAAUCACAAUGAUAUCAACCUUCUUGAAUUUAAAAAUUGGUAGGCAACUGGCUUCUAAAUUUUUUGAGCCUCUACCAUUGGAAGGAUAUACACAAGUUAAAAUAUAGAAAAGGCUCAUCUACCUGGGCCAUUGCAUUGUUUUCCACUCAAGAAAAUGUCCUGCUCUUCUUAUAGUCUUUAGCUACUGAUGGUGAACGGUUUUGUUAUCCUCUUUAGAUACUGAUG